AUAAAUGACCAAGUGGAUGAAGCAGCCACACUCUCACCGGUCCAGAUAUUCCUCAAAGAAGAGGAAGGUGCGUAUUGUAAGGCAGAAGAGCCUGUGCUGGUCUCACUUGUCCCAGUGCUUCUCAAAGAAGAACAUGUGCUUGAUGAAUCGCCGGAGGACUUUGAAGUUGGCAGUCACC